UACGAAGGGGGCUAGCGUUGCUCGGAAUCACUGGGCGUAAAGGGUGCGUAGGCGGGUCUUUAAGUCAGGGGUGAAGUCCUGGAGCUCAACUCCAGAACUGCCUUUGAUACUGAAGAUCUUGAGUUCGGGAGAGGUGAGUGGAACUGCGAGUGCAGAGGUGAAAUUCGUAGAUAUUCGCAAGAACACCAGUGGCGAAGGCGGCUCACUGGCCCGAUACUGACGCUGAGGCACGAAAGCGUGGGGAGCAAACAGG
rnacentral:rRNA from 1 species